GAUAUAGGUAUCCAUACAACAACUUUUUGCAUCAUCAUGUUGAGACUAUCAUAGUUUCGUGCUUGGAGAGUAAGAAUAGUCAAUUUGUUGAACAUCUUCUUGGUGACUGUAAUCUUCUUGUGAAAAUUGUCGAGGCAGAGAAAAAUUCAACGCUUGUUGUUGAUCGAUCCAAGGUGCUAGAGCUUGUUGAGUCACUUGUACUACAACCAACUGCUUGUCUUUAGAAACAAUGGGACUCACGUGUCAAACACACAAAGGCAUGUUUGAAUGUUAAUGUUGUGGUGUAUUUGUGGAUUGUGCAAGUGUUUUGUGGAUGUUUGCGAGGGGUGAAGUAGUCUAAUGUUAUAGACUAACUUAGUGUAGACUAGUUUAAUAUUUUAGUCUAAUGUUGUAGACUAACUUAGUGUAGACUAGUUUAAUGUUUUGUGGAUGUUUACAAAUGUUGAAGUAGUUUAAUGUUGUUUUGAUGUUUGCGAAGGUUGAAAUACCUUAAUUAAUGUCUCUUGUGAAUGUUUGAUUGACGUUUUUAUUCAACUUUGAAGUAGUUUCGAAUUGAAUUUGAUGUUUUGGUGGUUGUAAUAUAUGUGUUGUAAUAGUAGCUUAUUGUUUUAUGUAUUUAUAGUAGUUUGGUGUA